AUUGAACGCUGACGGCAUGCUCUACACAUGCAAGUCGAACGGUAACAGGCCGCAAGGUGCUGACGAGUGGCGAACGGGUGAGUAAUGCAUCGGAACGUGCCCAGUCGUGGGGGAUAACGCAGCGAAAGCUGUGCUAAUACCGCAUACGAUCUAUGGAUGAAAGCGGGGGACCGUAAGGCCUCGCGCGAUUGGAGCGGCCGAUGUCAGAUUAGGUAGUUGGUGGGGUAAAGGCUCACCAAGCCAACGAUCUGUAGCUGGUCUGAGAGGACGACCAGCCACACUGGGACUGAGACACGGCCCAGACUCCUACGGGAGGCAGCAGUGGGGAAUUUUGGACAAUGGGCGCAAGCCUGAUCCAGCAAUGCCGCGUGCAGGAAGAAGGCCUUCGGGUUGUAAACUGCUUUUGUACGGAACGAAAAGGUUUGGGUUAAUACCCUGGGCCGAUGACGGUACCGUAAGAAUAAGCACCGGCUAACUACGUGCCAGCAGCCGCCGCAGUAA
rnacentral:rRNA from 1 species